UACCUGGUUGAUUCUGCCAGUAGUCAUAUGCUUGUCUCAAAGAUUAAGCCAUGCAUGUCUAAGUUUAAGCAAUUAAACCGCGAAACUGCGAAUGGCUCAUUAAAUCAGUUAUAGUUUAUUUGAUAGUACCUUACUACAUGGAUAACCGUGGUAAUUCUAGAGCUAAUACAUGCUAAAAACCCCGACUUCGG
rnacentral:ncRNA from 1 species